rnacentral:tRNA from 1 species
GCCCGGUUAGCUCAAUCGGUAGAGCGUGAGACUCUUACGAGUACACAUCUCAAAAUCUCAAGGCUGCGGGUUCGACCCCCGCAUCGGGCU